rnacentral:lncRNA from 1 species
CGAAUUACAGAAUAUUGGAGAAAAAGGCUUACAUGAGAUCAAUAAUAUCUGGCUCGUCUCUGGUAGAAUCUUGAGGUUUUCUUGAGUACAAAGCUGCGUAAAACAAUUGAAAAGAGAUAAAAGUGAUAUAUAGAGUGAGUGUAAGACAAACAAAGACAAGAAAGUGAGCUUUAGACCAUGUAUUCAUCACUAUAUCUAUAAGCAAAGAUGAUAUCAGGAAACUCUUCCAAAACCGCAGCCGAACAUGAAUCCAUAAAAAAAAUUUGAUUCUUGCUUUUGCUGAUUCCAGUGAAAUGGUUAACACUUUUUUUUUUUGUAAAAUUUCUUUGGAAUAUAAAUAUCAUUAAAAAUCUGAUUUUUAUAGUGAAAUUGAUAAAUGGUAAAAUAUUAAAAAACAAAUUCUUUCAGCUUCUAUAUGAAAUACCUACAAAUUCUCAUUUAUUUUUUGGUUAUUUCACGUUAUUGUACAAUAACACAGAAGUAUGCAAAUUUGUUAUUUUUAUUUACUAAUCUAGUACACCUUAUUACACAACAAUCACCAACAAAAUUAUGAAUAUUGUAAUUCUUUUCAUUGAUAAAGUGGUAGUAUUAUUGCAAUAUUAUAAAUAUUAUUUGAGUUUCAACAUAGAUAAAAAUCAACAAUGAUAAUCGCACCUGCAUUGCAUGUGUCCUUGGCAUGUAUCAAUGCAUCUACCUCAGUUAUAUUUAAGAUAAAUGUGAUUCUUGCUUUUGUUAAUUCCAAUGAAAUGGUUAACACUUUUUUUUGUUAAAUCUCUUUGAAAUAUAAAUUUCUUAAUAAAUCUGAUUUUGAUUGUGAAAAUGAUAAAUGGUUAAAUGUUAAAAUAAAAAAUUUCUUUCAGCUUCUAUAUGAAAUAACUGCUAAUUCUCAUUUAAUGUUUUUCGGUUAUUUUACGUUAUUGUACAAAAAGACAGAAAUAUGUGAAUUUGGAUUUAUAUUUAGUAAUCUAGUACACCUUAUUACACAUCAAUCACCAACAAAAUUCUUAAUAUUUAAAUUCUAUUCAUUGAUAAUGAGGCUGUAUUAUUGUAUUAUUAUAAAUAUUAUUUGAGUUUCAACGUAGAUAAAAAUCAACAAUGAUAAUCGCAUCUGCAUUGCAUGUGUCCUUUGCCAGUAUCAAUGCAUCUAGCUAGCCCUCCUUUUCUGUUUUUGGCACAUUGGGCUUUACAUUGGUCGAUAACGCAUUUUCCAUUUGGGUCCGGGUAUUGUUCAACACAUUGUUUUCGGACUGGUCCUCCUUUUUGAGCAUUCGCUACUACUCCUGUUUUUAAUAAUUAAAACAUAAUUUUAGUUUUUUUGUAUUUAGAAUAUAAAUUUCUUUUUAUUAACAUAUGCUUGGCGGAAUUUUUUUUGUAUAUUUGUUGACUAAUUUGAAAGUUUAAGCAACUUUUUCUUGAUCAUUGAUUAUUCUUGGAAAAUAUCAAACUCAAUAUUACAGAAUAGACACACAAGUGAUAUGAGUAUAUUAAAUAAUACGGCAUCAAAAUAAAUUUAUUUAGAAUAUAUUAAUAAAUUAGCUGUAAAUACGUACCAAGCAGAAGAAUUGUGAGCAUGACGAGACCAAUAAGCGAUGAUCGAUAAUAAAUUUUCAUCUUAUUUUUUUUUUUGUUUUCUGACAGAAUAAAUUAAACAAUGAAUUAAUAGUGUUUUAAAAUUAAGAAAGACCGAGAAGUAUAUUUAUAGAUCAAUCACAAAAUUAAAUAUAUCUAAAUUAAGUUAAGUGGCGUUUAAAAUGCCAAAAUAUAAGGAUCUAGUUUGACUCCAAAAAAUGACAAUUCUAAUUUUAUUUAUUUAAUAGAUAAAAAGUUUGACUCAUUUAUUUUAAAUUUUAUUGAAAAUAUUUACCGAUAUACGUAAGAAAUCAAAUUCUAUGAAGUCACAAAUUGAAAAUUUAUACAAUACCUAGUUAAAAAAAAAAGAAACCAAAAAAUAAAUGAUUAAUGGUAAUUUGGUCUAAUAAAGUAAAAAUUCAUUUUUAAAGUGAAAUAUAAAUACAUUAUAUAUAUAUAUAUAUAUAUAUAUCUUUAUAUACAUUUUUAACAAUAUUACAUAUAUAAGUGACACGUAAGAAAAGUUACAUAAACAAAAGUCCUUUUGGUACGGUGGUUUGAUAAAGGGUUCAUUAAUGUUUCUACACCAGGAGGUCUGAGUUUCAAUAUCCGAAGAAAGCGAUUUACAGAAUAUUGGAGAAAAAGGCUUACAUGAGAUCAAUAAUAUCUGGCUCGUCUCUUGUAGAAUCUUGAGGUUUUCUUGAGUACAAAGCUGCGUAAAACAAUUGAAAAGAGAUAAAGGUGAUAUAUAGAGUGAGUGUAAGACAAACAAAGACAAGAAAGUGAGCUUUAGACCAUGUAUUCAUCACUAUAUCUAUAAGCAAAGAUGAUAUCAGG